rnacentral:tRNA from 1 species
GCGCAAGUAGUUCAGUGGUAGAACGCUGUCCUGAUAAGACAGAGGUCGGAGGUUCGAUCCCUCCCUUGCGCA